rnacentral:rRNA from 1 species
UAAAACUUUCAACACGGAUCUCUUGGUUCUGGCAUC